UCUCGUCAAAUGUCGUUUAUUGAACGUGGUGGUCAGAGAACGUAGUCAAAUUUUCACAGACGAAAAAAGAAAAAUGGCUACCACAAGGCUGCAACUGCAGCCGAUGACCAUACUCGGUUAUGCUGCAUUUUUUACAGUAAUAUUAUGAAACGCAGCGUUGGAAAGAAACUUCGUUCUUCAAAGUGAAAGCAGGUCAAAAGAGAAGAUUACAGAUGGCAUCCUUGUAUGAACGAGACAAAUGUCGAAUGUCAAGCGGAAACGAAUAACAGAAUGAACGUCGCAGUGACGUAAUGGCAACAUCUUGGUUUGGUUCAAAACCCGUGCAAGAAACAGAAUGCAAUUAACUAAUUGAAAUGAAAUACUCAUUGAAAAACUACUAGCGGCUGCAAUACUACAGAGUGCUGUGCAUGGAAGUUUUCGUACGGUCCUGUGGCUCGGGGAUCCGGUUGGAUAACUCUCCAGAGAAGUUCUGAAGAGGUUGUAUCAGCCGCAGGCUGAAAACGUUCGCAACAAAGUAACUGAUCCUUGAUGUUCAAACUGGAUCGAUUUGAAAUGGAGAUUUGUUCAACAACACUGCGUGUUCCCUCCCAUCAGAGAGAUUAUCUUGUCAGUUUCUUCUUUGUGCCUAUGGUGGAACACUAGAUCGCCGAACUUACAAUUCCUGGCGUUGUUUGAUGCUGUUCAUUGAAGGAAAUCCGAUGCUGCUGUUGGAGAUUCGCCGUUUCUCAGCAAACUGUGGAGCUGUCAACGAACAAGUAACUUUAAUUGUAAGAUAGUACGUAAGAGACAAUCGUGGCUUCAGUUUUUUUCAAGUACUUUAGAGUGCAAUUUAAAGAAUCCUGUGAUUUUUCAAUUUUUAAUAAGUUAAAUUACUGAACAAAAAUCAGGUAGCUAGAUAGUCAUUACUAAACAGUGGAUUCUGCUAAGACCAAGAACUCUUAAUUUAUCGGAAAAUUGUGUUACCUACCUAUUUUACACCAGUGCAAUGGAAUGGAAUGAAUUCUAGCCCAUCACACGGAAUGGCGUUUGAGAUAAUUCUACCAACUGAGUAAUUUGGUAGUCUAGUACAUUGGGUGCUUAAUUGCUAGUUUUUACUCCUUUUUUACUCGGAUAUUUUUUUUUCGAGAAAGAGAAUGUUGAUU